AUGGCACUGUGUUGUUCUCCUGCAAGUUCAUGUAUGUAUGGUUUAUUUGCUAGAGUCAGAAAAGGUCCUGAAAUAUUGUCAACCUGGUUUAUGUGUAGUCAGAGCAAAGGAUUUAAGCAUAACUUCUGCAAUUUUUUGUUGGUUAGCAUUUACCAUUUAACCUCUUGUGUAAACCUUUUAGAUGGCGCAAGUUAUACAUACGUUCUCUAUCCUCUUUUUUCCCCUUUGAAUCAGAGCAGUUUUCAAGAACUUCCGAAUCAUGCCAUGGCGCAAGCUCAGAUAUGUGUAAUGCUACCAUUUUUUGCUUGCCUCUCUUGCUCUGAUUAUGCAAAUAAACAUACAAGAGCACAUUAUUGUGGUGGAUCUUGCAUUUGGGAGUAUUUUUAUCUCUGA
rnacentral:rRNA from 1 species